AUACCAGCACCCCGAGUGGUCGGGACGAUUAUUGGGCCUAAAGCAUCCGUAGCCGGUACUGCAAGUCUUCCGUUAAAUCCACCUGCUCAACAGUUGGGCUGCGGGGGAUACUACAGCGCUAGGAGGCGGGAGAGGCAAGCGGUACUUAAUGGGUAGGGGUAAAAUCCACUGAUCCAUUGAAGACCACCAGUGGCGAAGGCGGCUUGCCAGAACGCGCUCGACGGUGAGGGAUGAAAGCUGGGGGAGCAAACCGGAUUAGAUACCCGGGUAGUCCCAGCUGUAAACGAUGCAGACUCGGUGAUGGGCUGGCCUUGUGCCAGCCCAGUGCCGCAGGGAAGCCGUUAAGUCUGCCGCCUGGGGAGUACGGUCGCAAGGCUGAAACUUAAAUGAAUUGGCGGGG
rnacentral:rRNA from 1 species